rnacentral:lncRNA from 1 species
AGUUUAACAAGCAGUAAGCUCUACCUCUGUCUUUCUCACCCUAUACAGCUAAGUCUCAGGUCAGGUGAACAUCCUACAGCUGAUCCAACCGCUUGAGCCCUUAGCUUAUCUUAUUAUCAUCACAGCAACAAAUGACUUUCCUAAUGACCUCUGAAAUGAACUUGAGGAACAACUCUGGCCCCUGCCUCUACUAUGAAGAUUAAAGAGUCUCAAAAGCGACCUCUGAGUUCCAAUGCUGCCAGUACUCCAUUCAAAAAAUGGUUUCCACAUGGAAAGAGAUUCCCGUGGCCCUACACUGACCAUUAACCUGCUCUGCAGAGUCUAGAGUACCAAAAGGAAGCGGGCUGUGGAUGGGGGCUCUUAAAUUCUAGGAUAUUUGUGGAAAAGCAGAACUCCACUCAUCAUACCUGUUUCCUCCCCCAUUCUGGCCCUUUGAUUGGGAAGACUCCAUUCUUCCUUCUCCUGCCUGGAAGAUGCUAGUGGCAAGAUCCAAGAAAAGACUGUUGGGAUGGGCCACGGUUAACAGCCAAUGAGAAAUAGAAGCAAUGCACGGAGAUAAGGAAUAACACACUCUUCUUCAUAUACACACGAAUGUACAAAAACACAUUCCUCGAGGAAAUAGUAUUUCCUUGGCACACUACGGCUUUUACAGCAGGAGUUAAAUACCAGCAGAAGUGCCAACUGGAAAGAGUUUUCCCUGGCGUUAAAACUGGAACGAAACAACUCUCAACAUUUGCAAAACAUUCC